CUCUCUGCUGUCUGUCUGGCAUGACUAAUGUGGAGGGUGCUGUCUCCGGCCAUGCCCACUUCUACUAACUGAGUGAGACGUGACGCUGGUGCAUGGAUGGACCGUCCGGACCCCUGGUUGGGAAUGCAUAGGAGAGCCAGGAGGG
ensembl:miRNA